UGGAAAAGUCCAAAAGCCAUAAACGACAAUUUAACUAAGCACACGUCCACUGAGUUUAAGUAGAUUUAAAAGUAUUGUUUUUUGUUUUUUUCAGGAGUCAUGAUGUCCGUGCUCAAUAUGAAUAAUUCCGGCUCAGAAGCUGCUGAAACUUAUUCUGUGAUCAGCUCAGUACCCUUACCGUCCCUGCCUUUAGACACCAGUGGAGACAUAAAAGUGGAUUCUAAGAAAACAGUGGUCGACAUGUAUCAUGUGUAUAGCUCCAUCCCUGACACACAUGUGACCACCAAUGACGCAGUGUACAGCCUGCUGCAGAUGCACUGAUGUAUAUUACACCUUAAUGAAUGUAAAUAGUUAUUUACAGUAUUAUUCUUAUACCUGUUAUGCCUUAACAUGUGCUUUAAUUGAAUAGCUUGCUUUUGGAUUUGAAAUGAAUUGGACUUCUGCUGGCUUGUAACUGCGAUGUCACUGAAUGGAGCUCAAGGCUGAGUCCAGAUUAAUAAAGAGCUGAUGGUUUUACAGGUGCUUCAUGAAUAAGUUUCACCAGCUGAAAGAGAAAAGCCAC